AACGAACGCUGGCGGCAGGCCUAACACAUGCAAGUCGAACGCUGUAGCAAUACAGAGUGGCAGACGGGUGAGCAACACGUGGGAACGUGCCUUUCGGUUCGGAAUAACCCAGGGAAACUUGGACUAAAACCGGAUACGUGCGAGAGCAGAAAGAUUUAUCGCCGAAAGAUCGGCCCGCGUCCGAUUAGCUAGUUGGUGAGGUAACGGCCCACCAAGGCGACGAUCAGUAGCUGGUCUGAGAGGAUGAUCAGCCUCACUGGGACUGAGACACGGCCCAGACUCCUACGGGAGGCAGCAGUGGGGAAUAUUGGACAGUGGGCGCAAGCCUGAUCCAGCCAUGCCGCGUGGGUGAUGAAGGCCC
rnacentral:rRNA from 1 species